UACGUAGGGCGCAAGCGUUGUCCGGAAUUAUUGGGCGUAAAGAGCUCGUAGGCGGUGUGUCGCGUCGGCCGUGAAAACCUGCAGCUUAACUGUGGGCGUGCGGGCGAUACGGGCAGACUAGAGUACUGCAGGGGAGACUGGAAUUCCUGGUGUAGCGGUGGAAUGCGCAGAUAUCAGGAGGAACACCGGUGGCGAAGGCGGGUCUCUGGGCAGUAACUGACGCUGAGGAGCGAAAGCGUGGGGGAGCGAACAGG
rnacentral:rRNA from 1 species